UCCAAUCGACCCACACAAGUCCACCAUUCCUAAUGGCCCAAAUAACUCAAUCCUCUAAUAAUCCGGUUUAGGUUCGAACAGCAUAAACUUCAUCCCCAAUUCCCAUCCAAGACUCUAUAGAACUCAUUCCAAAUCUACCGAUCACUGUGAGUCUGCCAGUCUCUUCAAGUCGUCGACGCCACUAGAAGCCUUCAAGUUCGACAGUGCCACUGGAAUCGGCUCCCUUACGUCCCUGACUCUCUGCUCGCGCAAUGAUCCGUUGUUCUAACUUUCUAAGGUACUACAAGUAAUGCUAGAGCUAUCUUAGUCUUGGGUAGAGAUCUAAUGGUGGUUCCAAAACUAAUUCAUCCAUUGUCACCGGCAAUUUCAUCUCCUCAGACCUCACCUAAACACCAAAUAGACGACACAUGGAUGCAAGAUCUCAAUGUUAACAGACCACCUACACCAACUAGGGGUCUUCCUCAAGUGACUAAUGAUAGAGAUUCUCUUGCUUGGAUUUAGAUUUUGUCUCCUAAAUUGCUUUAUCGUACUCCGGGUUGAUGCUUUCACUCCAAAAUUUUCAUGAUCUGUACGUAGCGUUGACCUCGAGAAUUGGACCCUCCACGUGGCCAACGGGUAGCUACUCCAUGUAAUCCUCUCUGCGCACAACAACGCAUGGUCAGAAGCAUACGGUCGAAACUAGGGGUGGUGGUGACGACCACAUACACUCGGACGGUCAAGUCAGCAUUGGGUGAUCGGAACAGUGCUCCAGUUAUACAAGAGAGUGGGGAUGAUAAUAUAUAUUUCUUAGUAUAGAGAGUUAAGUUAUAAGAGUUUCAUUAUCUUUGUCUCUUGCUAGACCUUGGUAUUUAUAAAGGUAGAACACCGCUGGAUGUGGGACACAUGUAUGCAUCUGACGGUGUGAGGCAUCUGCUCAUAGGCAUCAAUCAGCCACGUCUAGAGUGGGCGGACAAUUAGUUCUUCUGAGUUUGGUUAACAUAAGGUUGAUAAGUCACAUCAACUAGACUUAUGGAGACGUCACAUCAAUUGAUCUUUGGAGGCAGAGGGGAUCUUGACAGAUAUCUUUUUGACAGUGGCGGCGAAGGGAUCUGUUAAGGGAGUGUCUCGAAGUGCUCAAUGCUUCGGAGUUGAGGGAUACUUCAGUUGCUUCAGUGGAUAUACUCUUCACCCUGCAAUGCGCCAUGUUGAGGUCGUUAGGAGUGGGCAUCACUUCGGAACCACUUCGGGUGAACAUGUGGAACUUCGGGGAGUGGUGUCUGUUGUUCUGAAGUGGUUUAGUUAGGGGUGUAACACAUAGCUUGAUUCCAUGUCGAGGAUUCUGCAGAGAUAAGUUAUUCACUCUUAGAAAUAUAAAGGCUCUUUGCUUUCACUGGAGUGCGUUCAGAAGAUAAAGAGGAAGAGUUUGAACAUGUUGCAGGCGGCUAGUUGUAGUCUACAUUUAUUGUGCUGAAAGCAAUUCAAGAUUUCCCAAAAGCUCUACAUGAUCCAUAACAGACUAUAGAUCUUUAGUCAGUUUCUACGGUUCUCGACCUUGCAAUAUGAUAAAGUGUUACAAGAAACGCCAUUGGAAGAGAUGCUGGCCAACGUGGAUGAACUUAUGUUCUUGAAUAAUUUAUGACGUUUGGCCAAAGAGCAGUAUUAGACUUAUUCGAUGAAGGUUGAUAUACUUGGGGAAACAAGACAUGAUUAUAUCUCAUUUUCCUCGUAAGUAAAACCAAGCAGAGCUCCUACAUUUGUACAGGGCAGAGCGAA